GAUGAACGCUAGCGGCAGGCCUAAUACAUGCAAGUCGAACGGUGUCUUCGGACAUAGUGGCGCACGGGUGCGUAACACGUAUGCAACCUACCUUACAUUGGGGGAUAGCCUUUCGAAAGGGAGAUUAAUACCGCAUAAGUCAGUAGCUGGGCAUCCAGCAGCUGUUAAAGAUUUAUCGAUGUAAGCUGGGCAUGCGUCCAAUUAGCUAGUUGGUGAGGUAACGGCUCACCAAGGCAAUGAUUGGUAGGGGAACUGAGAGGUCAAUCCCCCACACUGGCACUGAGAUACGGGCCGGACUCCUACGGGAGGCAGCAGUAGGGAAUAUUGGGCAAUGGACGCAAGUCUGACCCAGCCAUGCCGCGUGCAGGAUGAAGGCGUUAUGCGUUGUAAACUGCUUUUAUACAGGAAGAAACGACUCUUGCGAGAGGCAUUGACGGUACUGUAUGAAUAAGCACCGGCUAACUCCGUGCCAGCCGCCGCGGUAAUAC
rnacentral:rRNA from 1 species